UACGUAGGGGGCGAGCGUUGUCCGGAUUUACUGGGCGUAAAGCGCGCGCAGGCGGCACUUCAAGUAAGGUGUGAAAUCUCCCUGCUCAACGGGGAGGGUGCACUUUAGACUGAGGAGCUAGAGGACGGUAGAGGGGGGUGGAAUUGCUGGUGUAGCGGUGAAAUGCGUAGAGAUCAGCAGGAACACCCGUGGCGAAGGCGGCCCCCUGGGCCGUACCUGACGCUGAGGCGCGAAGGCUAGGGGAGCGAACGGG
rnacentral:rRNA from 1 species